rnacentral:rRNA from 1 species
UACAGAGGUCCCAACCGUUGUUCGGAUUCAUUGGGCGUAAAGGGUGCGUAGGCGGCGCGGUAAGUCGGGUGUGAAAUCGUCGGGGCUCCAACCCCGUGACUGCAUUCGAUACUGUCAGGCUAGAGGUAGGUAGGGGAGAUCGGAAUUCCUGGUGUAGCGGUGAAAUGCGCAGAUAUCAGGAGGAACACCGGUGGCGAAGGCGGAUCUCUGGGCCUUACCUGACGCUCAGGCGCGAAAGCUAGGGGAGCGAACAGG